rnacentral:rRNA from 1 species
GACGAACGCUGGCGGCGUGCUUAACACAUGCAAGUCGAACGGAAAGGCCCUGCUUUUGUGGGGUGCUCGAGUGGCGAACGGGUGAGUAACACGUGAGUAACCUGCCCUUGACUUUGGGAUAACUUCAGGAAACUGGGGCUAAUACCGGGUAUGAUCUCCUGCUGCAUGGUGGGGGUUGGAAAGUUUCGGCGGUUGGGGAUGGACUCGCGGCUUAUCAGCUUGUUGGUGGGGUAGUGGCUUACCAAGGCUUUGACGGGUAGCCGGCCUGAGAGGGUGACCGGCGACAAUAGGACUGAGGUACGGCGCAGAAUGCAACGUGAGGCAGUAGUGGGGAGUAUUGCACAAUGGGCGGAAGCCUGAUGCAGCGACGCCGCGUGCGGGAUGACGGGUUUCGGGUUGUAAACCGAUUUCGCCUGUGACGAAGCGUGAGUGACGGUAAUGGGUAAAGAAGCACCGGCUAACUACGUG